CUAACAAGGAUUCCCUUAGUAACGG
rnacentral:ncRNA from 2 species